GCUGGAUGAUAGUAACAAACAUUAGUAAAAGGAUGUAAAAUUUGAAUUACAGUUCUCAUAUGAAAUGCAAUCAUUAUAUUAAUAUAUAUGUAAAUUAUAUCUUACACUAGCUAACAAUUACCCCCACCCCCUUCCUAAUAAAAUCACAACAUACACAAGCUAUAAUUCAAUAGUGUACUCGUAGUUUAGAUAAAUCUACAAAUCUACCUCUGGUAUUAGUAGGAUAUUUAAGGUAAAAAAAAACCAACUCACUUUUUGGCUUUCUUGAAGUACCUCAUGUUUAUCAACUAGAAAAUAUCUAAUAUCAAAAUACUCCAGUAUAUUCUGUAAAUAACUUCUCAGCAUGCAUGGUCAAUAGAAAUGUCAUGACCUAAAGCCCAUAUUCCUCUGCUACAUUUGGUUUGCUAAUGUCACCGCCGGCCAUUCAUGCACAUGCUAAGGUCCUCUAUCAGAUGUCAAUCACUAACUGGAUGCUGAUAAGAUGUUCGGGGUGUGCUAAUAAUAGUAACUGUGUGAAAUUCGAGAGCUUUCAACAGCAGAUCACUGCUUUAGGAACAGAUGCAAAAUGUGGUCGCAAAUUUAAUUUAAGAUCAACGCUUCAUGUGUAUACUUUAUGAAGGUGAACAGAAAUAUUGUUUGGAAAUUGCAGUUGCAAACUUCGCAGGAUGCUUGCAUCAAGGUGAUGAUGAUUGGCAGUGACAAAAUAUUUUGCCUUGUGGAUUUUGGUUUGAAAUCACUGCAUUUGAAUUGUUUGCUGGUCUGGUGGAUGGGUAGCAUUAAUUUGGACAGAGCUUGAUGAGAUGAAAGAUGCUUGAAGAUUAAGAUUCUAUAGAAGAUCUGGACAUCCCCCCUGGGAGGAAAUCAAUGAGGCCACAGAAAAGUUCAAAAGCCAUCCAGCCAGUCACACAGUAUGAACAGAAGAUAAACAGAACAGAAGAUAAACCUUGAUUCAUGUCAACCAUGUAUCGAAGACCGAAUUAAGUGAAAGUGCUUUCUGGAAAAUGCAGCUCUACUUGGGAACUCCAUCCUGAAUUUGAUGGAUGCGAGCUUUAUGUUUUUAGUAAUUAUAAAAUCAUAUGCACUGAGACAAUUAUUAAUAUAGUUAAAUUUUUAAUUAUAUAAACAUCUAAUCCAAUUACAAACUAAACUUGAUAUUUAAUAUAAAAAGAAAUAUUAAUAAAUUGGUAUUCUUAAUUACAUGCCUAUGUAUGUCUAAGCUGUUAUUUUGAAUUGUAACCCAAAAAUGCCGCGAUAUAAAAUAUUAAAAAUUCAAACUCUUUUUUACUUUAUAUCGAGUAAUCAACUUAGAAAAUUUUAGCUGAUCAUCAUCAGGACUGAGCGAUAGUCAAGUACUCGAGUACUUGUUAACAUCCUUAAUAUUUACGUAAAGUAUAACAUGUUUAAAUGCUUAUUUAAUUUAAGAUUACCGGUAUUUUGCUUAUUACUGUUUUUACUUUCAAUUGGAACAUUCUUCAAGUACCAUGUAAAGGUUUCAGUUAAAGAGAAAAGAGGAACGUUCCUCAAGAUUCCUCGUGAAGAUUUCAGUUGUAGUGAAAAGAGGAACGUUCCUCAGAUGACUUGUCAAGAUUUCUGUUGAAGUGAAAAGAGGAACGUUCCUCAGAUUCUUUGUGAAGAUUUCUGUUGAAGUGAAAAGAGGAACGUUCCUCAGAUGAAGUGUAGAGAUUUUAGUUUAGGUAAAGAGGAACGUUCCUCUGAUGCUUCAUAAGUUUUUAUAAGAAUAAGA